GGUCUGCAGCCUUGAAAUUGCCCCCAGUUGAGUUGUACUCUGGGCAUAUCGGGUUUGCAAAGAGUAUAUAACUGAGGAAGCCGAGGCAGGAGUGCAAAAAAAGCAGCAGCAGCUCCAUGUGCAAUAUUCCUCUGACAUAUUUUGCACUGUUGCCGCGGAGAUGACGAUGGUCCUCGUAUCGUUAUCCGUCUGUCAGCGGUAAGAGUAAAGUUGCGACGUGAUAUUGGUCAGCAAAUAAAAGAAUUUCUGCUCCGUUUAAAAAAAAAA